CCAGAGAACUUUCCAGAGAUGGAUUGGUGCCUUCGGGAACUCUGAGACAGGUGCUGCAUGGCUGUCGUCAGCUCGUGUUGUGAAAUGUUGGGUUAAGUCCCGCAACGAGCGCAACCCUUUAUCCUUUGUUGCCAGCGGUUAGGCCGGGAACUCAAAGGAGACUGCCAGUGAUAAACUGGAGGAAGGUGGGGAUGACGUCAAGUCAUCAUGGCCCUUACGAGUAGGGCUACACACGUGCUACAAUGGCGCAUACAAGAGAAGCGACCUCGCGAGAGCAAGCGGACCUCAUAAAGUGCGUCGUAGUCCGGAUUGGAGUCUGCAACUCGACUCCAUGAAGUCGGAAUCGCUAGUAAUCGUGGAUCAGAAUGCCACGGUGAAUACGUUCCCGGGCCUUGUACACACCGCCCGUCACACCAUGGGAGUGGGUUGCAAAAGAAGUAGGUAGCUUAACCUUCGGGAGGGCGCUUACCACUUUGUGAUUCAUGACUGGGGUGAAGUCGUAACAAGGUAAGCGUAGAUGA
rnacentral:rRNA from 1 species